rfam:Anisakis simplex genome assembly, scaffold: ASIM_scaffold0001735
AAAUAGACCAUGAUGACCGCAUAGUUCAACAGAACUACUAGCCAUGUUGAUUAGAUUUCGCCCCUAUCUGAGUCUUACC